AAAAAACAAGGUAAAUUGAUUAGGAUCGGAAGUUCCAUUGAUAGAAAAUUUGACUUAUCGAUCGAAAGAAGAUUCAACUGAUAGAUCAAAAGAGGAGUUGAAUGGUCCAUAGACAAAUGAUUUGCCUUGUCAAUGGAGAGACUUCUAGUCAAUGAAACAGAUGAUCCAACUUAUUGAUUGACAGAGAAUUUGAUUGGUUGCUCAAAAAACAAUUUGACUGGUUAAUCUAACAGGUUAAUGAAUAGACAGUUUGACUGAUGGAAUGAUAGAGAAUUCGAUCAGUUAAUUGACAGGAAAGGACACUACAAAAUUGUUUCCACUCUCUCGAGUGGCACUAGCUGAAGUUGCUAAGCAGAUGCGCUAUUUGCAAUAUUCUGAUACUUUCCAGGAGUUCCCUAAAUUCCUGACUUUCCUGGAUAACUGUAUAUUCUUUGACUUUCCAGGUUUUCUAGACUUUCGAAAAAUAAGCAAGGGCUAAAAAGAGAGAAAAAUAGGGGUCAUCACUCCCGCAAGUUGCCCCUCAACCCAAGAUUUGCCUUGUUUGUUGCGAUUCGCAGAUAAGGUACUGAAAAAUGUAUUUGACAGGUGAGCGAAAUAAUUUGGCAAACAUUAUAAAGCAAAAAUCUGGAGCACAAGACGGACAUCAAUUCUGCAUGAAUGAAAGCUGGGCACUUUUUUUUCAACCUCCUUUGGAUAAUGGGAAUGAAGUUUGACAACAAUGCAUUAGAAGAAUGUAAAUCUUAUCAUUCAGAACUUAGGUAUCAACCUCCAGUUUAAAUUUGAAUAGUACAAAUGGUUGGACUGACAAAGAUAUGAUUAUGAUUUCUCCUGGUGCAAAAUUAGUUUUGAAAUGAUUUCCUUCAUUUUAAAUUAAAACCCAACAUUCCUUUGAAGAGCAUUCAUUCACGAGGUUUGAUUUUUUUUUUUGUGAAAAAUGUACUAGUCAAAUGGAAAAUUUAAUCUUGAAAAUCAGGGUGAAUAUUUUUAUUUUAGCUAUUUAACAUCAAUUGAUGAUGAAAUGUAAUUCAUAUGUUGGAAUAUGGUGGUGAAAAGUUGUUGUAUAAGAACUAUGGCAAUGACCUAAGAGCAAAACCAGGUAUCCCUGUUUGCACGUUGAAGACUUCCUGACAUACUAUGUGUUUUCUUCCGAAAAUUCCUCAUCAUAACUUCUGGAGAGUUUUCUUAAUUUUUCUUCACUCUUACAAUUAGCAGAAUACUCCA